rnacentral:lncRNA from 1 species
UGAUGUCCGAAAAAAAAUCUGAACCGAAACGCGAAGGGACAAUGCAGGCCACUGUAAAGGUAGGUACCGUUUAUCUUACCACUCGUGUCCGUUACGGUUAAUGGCCAUAUCGUCCGUUAAUCUAGUCUUAGUAGGGCCAUUACCCCCAUCUACCUUCGCGCUUCUGCGCACCUUCUUUACCCACAAAGGUUUCCAUGUUUUUAACUCCGUUUAAUCUUUCCUAUAAUGUCGCCUCGGACUUCCGUCCUCUUUUUAAUCUCGCUGGACAGAUUUUUUAGCCCUUUUUCGCCUUCCGCUCUCGGUCUUCCUCCGACCGUUACCAUUAGCUUCCACUCCAAUUUUCCAUUGGAGAUGACAUUAUGGCGGGUGGCGAGAGCGCCAACUUCACAAUUCAAAAUGGUGGCUCCGCCUGGCGGAGUCAAAACUCGUUAUAUCCAUUGAUUUUCCAAAUUUUCGUCACCACCCCCGUCUCGACCGGAACGGUCCCGCUGACGUUUAUUGUUUGCAAAUUGACCAUUCUGCGCCUUAUAAACUGUAGAUCCCCUUACUGGUUUACCGCCAUACCGUUUACUCCUAACUACCCGCGCUUAUCUUACUGACAGUAACUCGUUGAGUAGCCUUGGCUACUGCGGCUGCUUUUUGAAUUAUCGAUAACUUCUUCGUAGUUGCCACCUUAUACGCCGUUUCCGUCUUUCAUUUCGUGCACUAUUAUCUCCGUCGGGAAUUUGGCCACGUGUAGUUGUUGAUUUGGUGGAUGGGAUGUCUGCUGUAACGGACUCUUGAUAAAUACUGUAUCCAGCAUCUUGUGUAUUUUAAGUUGUACCACUGUUUUAUGUAAUAAAUAAAAGUACCGUACAACUUUAUUUAAAGAAGAAAAACUGUCGAUGAUUAAUAAUAAUAAUAAUAAUAAUACCAUCUUACCGUUCUUUACUGUAAAUUGCUAAAAUAUCUUUUGCUUUUAGUUAAUCUUUGGCUCUGUGUCGUAAUAACGAUUACCAAAUAUCGCGGUCGCUACAGGACAACAUUUUUGCAGAAAUUGUUAACAAAGAACAUAAACAAAAAUGAUUAAAAUUUUUUAAACAAAUUUUAAUCGUUAUGAUUUAUUGCAACAUAUAUAUAUAUAAUGAAAGAAAUAUGCCUAAUUAUUUAAUUCUUACACUAAUUACAUAACAAACUGAAUUGUUAGCAUAUUAAAGAUAGUAGUUGUUUAAAUUUUUCUUUUUGUAGAAAACACAUUUUCGUGAUGUACCAUACACUCUUAAAAAUUAAAUUAAGCAAUUGCUUAUUAUUUAAGAUUUAUUCAUAAAAUUGCAAAUGAUUUCUGUUACGAAAGUCUAAUUUUAUUGUUAGUAAAUUUUUUGCCAUUUCGGAUGACGUUCUGUUUUGUUUGUCCAAAUGUUGCCGUCUCGUUAAACUAGAUACUCUCUCGAAUGGGAUGCUGUGAAUGUGGACUGUCCCAGACUUAGUAGGUGGACGGUUCUCCGAAACUACCGGAGUUGAAAAGCAUGUAUGUCGGACAUAAGUUAUAUGGUGCUAGUUUGUUGCAAUGGUGUAAUGCUAAAAAUAUAAUGUUGAGGUAUAAGCACAUAAAUUGUGUGAUAAAGCAAUCUCUCUUACCUUCUUGGAUGAUCCCAAUU